UAGCGUAUAUUAAAGUUGUUGCAGUUAAAACGCUCGUAGUCGGAUUUCGGGGCGGGCCGACCGGUCUGCCGAUGGGUAUGCACUGGCCGGCGCGUCCUUCCUUCCGGAGACCGCGCCUACUCUUAGCUGAGCGGGCGCGGGAGACGGAUCGUUUACUUUGAAAAAAUCAGAGUGUUUCAAGCAGGCAGCUCGCUCUUGCAUGGAUUAGCAUGGGAUAAUGAAAUAGGACUUUGGUGCUAUUUUGUUGGUUUCGAACACCGAAGUAAUGAUUAACAGGGACAGUCAGGGGCACUCGUAUUCCGCCGAGAGAGGUGAAAUUCUCAGACCAGCGGAAGACGAACCACUGCGAAAGCAUUUG
rnacentral:rRNA from 1 species